AAAAUAUUCAUGUAAAUAUUUUCUAUUUCUCACUUCGCAGAUCUGAAGAAUCCAUCUCCCUAAAAUUGAAUUCCCUAAAAACUCUUAAUUUGGGAGACCAAAAGUUAGAGUAUAAUCUUUCCUCUAUUUCACAUAUUUUUCCAGGAGAUGAAAUCGAGCAUUUGUGGUUUGGAUUUCGUUUGAUUUGUUGGCCUCUCUCUGUUCUUGUUCUCUGGUUAAUCUAUCAGAAGGCGACGAAAAUGGGGAUGAAGAUCUAGAAUGAUGCAGUACAUCUGUAAAAUAACCCUGAAAAUCUCUAAUUUUUUACCUUAAAAUUGUGGAGGCAGUCAGUCAGUCUCUCCAUGGUUUCGAGGUUUUGAAAACUUGAAGUUGCAAGUGAAGAAACAAGUUUUGAAGAGUUGAUGCAAGUAACAAAUUGAUAAUCUUUUUUCUAGGACACUUGGGACAUAAAAAAAUUUCUUGCUAUGUAGACUGUAAACAAUUCAGGACUAUACAAUUAAUAGUGGAAUGUUUAUAAUUUUUGGUUGCGUUUGAUUAAGAAUUGUGUAUUAGUAAGCUUAUAUAUAUUAACAAUAAUAUAUUUAUGUUAUUGUGAUUA